rnacentral:rRNA from 1 species
CCUAGCCCUAAAUCAUAAUAAUUAAUUAACAAAACUAUUUGCCCGAGAACUACUGGCCACCGCUUAAAACUCAAAGGACUUGGCGGUACUUUAUUUCCACCUAGAGGAGCCUGUUCUAUAAUCGAUAAACCCCGCUACACCUUACCUCCCCUUGNUAAUUCNGCCUAUAUACCGCCAUCUUCAGCGAACCUUUAAAAAGAAUAAAAGUAAGCAAGAGAACAACCAUAAAAACGUUAGGUCAAGGUGUAGCCUAUGGGGUGGGAAGUAAUGGGCUACAUUUUCUAAUAAGAACAAUACGAAACCCCUAAUGAAAUAGAGGGAUGAAGGAGGAUUUAGUAGUAAACUAAGAUCAGAGAGCUUAGUUGAAUUGAGCAAUGAAGUA